AUAUCCAGGAUGGCACCCAUCAGGUGUCCUAUGUCCCUGACAAAGCAGGUAAAUACACAAUAACCAUCAAAUAUUUAAAUAUAGUGGUGAGAUCCCGACUUCACCAUAACAUGUCUGGGCCAUUGCAACUGGGGAUGCUGACAAGUGCAUCAUAACAGUUGAGAGACAUGGCUGGUGCUGUAUUGGCUCCUCUUUCAGAAUCAAUGUAUUAUUUCAAAGCAGGGUAUUUUAGAAUUAUUUUGAGCUAAAUUAGCCCCCGCCUUCUGCACCUCACCUUGUUAGCAGGUUGAAUAUCGUAUUGAUCAAAUUCAAGUGAUUGAUCUAUGAUUGACCAGGUCCUCGAUUAGGCUCCAUCAGCACCGUGUAAGGAGAUUGGCUUUGUGGUGAACAUGUAGUCUGCCGGGAUGGGGGAGGUCUCAUGUUUGGUGCAGACCCCAGAUGGGAAGGAGGUGGAGGCAGACAUCCUUGAGAAGGAGGAUGGGACCUUUGAGAUCUGCCAGGGAACUACAUCAUAUCAGCUGGGUUUGGAGGGGGAGUCUCUUUACCAGUCCCUUUGAGGUUGUGGUGAGGAACUGGUGCUGAUUUCUGCACCUUUAAGUAUUUUUGAUUUGUCAAUUUUAUUAGGAUUCCCAUUAGCCGACACCAAUGGUGGCAGCUAGUCUUAAUUGGGUCAGUCAUCCGACAGAUAACAAAAAAUACUUUAGACCAAAGACUUCACUAUUUACAUUUUAAUAACAUAAACAUAUGGUGUGUGCGCAUCUAUCAGUUACUCAUGCAUGUACAAAAAGUAGAUCACAUGGGGGCGAGGUGUUGCUUAUUUGGUUUUUGAAAUCAGGUUUCCUGUUCACUUGCACUAAAUGAGUUGGGAGUUCUAUGCAAUCAUGGUUCUGUAUAAUAUUGUAAGUUUUUCCUAGAAUUUGUUCUGGACUUGGACUGUGUGAAAAGACCCCUGAUGGCAUGUCUGUUGGGGUAAGUGUGUCAGUGCUGCAGCUUAAAUUGUUUCUCCUUUGCACCAUUUCACCAUAUGACUGGACAAUAAUCAAGCUAAAACUAGAGCCUGCAAAACUUGCGUUUUGGAGAGUGGGGCCCAAAAAAGCAAAGCAUCUCUUUGUCACGGACAGACCUCACCCUAUCUUUACAAUCAUUGAGUUCAUAUUUUUUUUACCAUGACAGUUUAUAAUCUAAGGUAACACCAAGUAAUUUAGUCUCCUCAACUUGCUCAACAACCAUACCAUUCAUUACCAAAUUCAGCUGAGGUCUAGAAAUUAAGGUAUGAUUUGUAACAAAUAGAAUGCUCCUAGUUUCAGACAUGUUCAGGAACAGUUUAUUACUGGCCACCCAUUCCAAAACGGACCAACUCUUUGUUUAGGUUUUCACUAGCUGUGAUUGCUGACACACAGGGUUGAAUCAUCAGCAUGCAUGGACACACAGGCUUUGUUUAAUGCCAAUGGCAGGUCAUUGGUGAAAUGAGUAGAGGGCCAAGAGAGCUGCCCUGAGGUACUCCACACUUUACAUAUCUAACAUUAGGGAAGCUUCUAUUAAAGAACUCUCUAUUCUAUUAGCUAUCAUGGUUUCAGAGCUGAUGUUGAAAAGCCAUAACAUGUUUUUUUUUUUUCAUCAGGUAGUCAUUAUCGAAGGCUGCACUGAAAUCUAACAGUACAGCUCCCGCACACUUAUCAAUUUCUUUCAACCAAUCGUCAGUGCAGUACAUGUUGAGUGCCCUUCUCUAUAAGCAGGCUCAGUCUGUUUAAUUUGUUUACAAAGAAAUGGCAUUGUAUUUUGUCAAACACAAUGUUAUCCUACAGUUUACUAAGAGCUGGCAGUGAGCUGACAUGUCGGCUGUUAUAUCAGUAAAGGCCGCUUUAACAUUCUUGGGUAGCGGAAUGACUUUGGCUUCCCUUCAGGCUUGAGGACUGUCAGUAGCUUUUCAUCUAAGUUGUCAAUGCCAUGUUUGUCAUUGUUCCAUAACUAUUUUUCCAACUCUCCCACACUUACAUUGCUUUUCUUUCAUUACAUUUUUUUAUGCAUGAAUAUGAUGGCUCACUAUUCGUUGUUGGCAUUUCCUGUCUAGGUUUGCCCACAUUACUUAAAUUGGCAACAUCAAUUGUCAAUAUUAAGGUCCCCAAGAAAGUAGACCUCUCUGUUUACACCACAUACAUGAACAAGCAUUUUGCAAAUUAUCUAAAUACUGACUGUUACUACUUGGUGGCCUAUAGCAACGCCCCAAAAUAAAAGCCUUUAGAUGUGCCAGGUGAGCCUGCGACCACAACACUUCCAUAACACUUGACACAUGAUCUUCUCUGAACAUUAUAGGGAUAUGGCUCUGAAAAUAAAAAAUAAAAAAUUGUGUGUAUUCAGAAGUUGGGGGACUUAAAUGUCUUUCCCAUGAAAACAUGCAUGAAAUGAGUUGCAAAAUGAAUAGGAAAUAUACUCAGGUUGAAGGUUAAAUGUUUUUAAUUGAAGGACACUCUUUCAAACUUUGCUUUUGUCAAAGAACCCUCAAUUACAACCUUGCAGACCUUUAGAAUUCUAGUUGUCAAUUUGUUGAGAUAAUCUGGAAAGAUUUCACACCAUGAUUCCUGAAGCACCUCCCACAAGUUGGAUUGGCUUCUUACGUACCAUACGGUCAAGCUGCUCCCACAGCAGCUCAACAGCGUUGAGAUCCGGUGACUGUGCUGACCACUCCAUUAUAGAAAGAAUACCAGCUGACUGCUUCUUCCGUAAAUAGUUCUUGCAUAGUUUGGAGCUGUGCUUUGGGUCAUUGUCUUGUAGGAGGAAAUUGGCUCAAAUUUAAAUGCCAUUCACAGGGUAUGGCUUGGCAAAAUGGAGUGAUAGUCUUCCUACUCCAAGAUCCCUUUUACCCUGUACAAACCUACUUUACCACCACCAAAGCACCCCCAGUCCAUCGCAUUCUCUCCACCAUGCUUGACAGCAUCUUUUAUUUUGUGAUCCAAACACCUCAAACUUAGAUUUGUCUCCAUAACACAACUUCCUCUGUCCAGUGUCUGUGUUCUUUUGCCUAGCUUAAUCUUUUUUUUUUAAUUGGCCAGUCAGAUGGCUUUUUCUCUGCAACUCUGUCUAGAAGGCCAGCAUCCCGGAGUCGCCUCUUCACUGUUGACAUUGAGCCUGGUGUUUUGCAGGUACUAUUUAAUGAAGCUGCCACUUGACUUGUGAGGCGUCAGUUUCUCAAACUAGACACUAAUGUGCGUGUACUAAUGUACGUGUCCUCAAGUUUUGCCUUGAAGAAUGGGCAACAAUCCCAGUGGCUAGAUGUGCCAAGCUUAUAGAGACAUACCCCAAGAGACUUGCAGUUGUAAUUGCUGCAGAAGGUGGCUAAACAAGUAUUGGCUUUGGGGGGGUGAAUAGUUAUGCAUAAAGUUCUUUUAUUUAUUUUUUUUUCACAAAUGUUUUGCAUCUUUAAAGUGGUAGGCAUGUUGUUUAAAUCAAAUGAUACAAACCCCCCAAAAAUCUAUUUUAAUUCCAGGUUGUAAGGCAACAAAAUGGGGAAAAUGCCAAGGGGGUGAAUACUUUCACAAGCCACUGUAUAUUAUGUAUAUAAAAAAAGGUGAAUCUCAAGCCUGUGUGUCUUUUUAAGGUGAUGUUUUUUUUGUUGCAUGCUGGAUCUGUUCUGUGUAUGAGCUCAGGCUCCAGACAAUGACUUGGACUCAGGAUGUGAUGGGCAGUAGUCCAAAUGGAAGCAAAAAGCUUCUCUCAGAGAUGGCCAGCCUUUGGUAUGGACAUUCUUCCCUUUCAGAGCGGCAGGAAUAUAUACAACUUUUGGAGCUGUCUGUUUAAUUGAUGAUUAAACCUGACCACUAUGGGUGUGGGGCUCCCAAAUUACUCUAACAUCCUUUCUAUAAUUUUCUAGUUUUUAUAUAGUGCUGUUCAUAAACAUUUUAGCCCUUUGUUGCACCUUCUAGACAGCUUAAUUUAAAAAGUUGUUGUAGCCCAUCUUAGCGCCUCUCUCUACAAAUGACACACAGCUCUUACAUUGCCCUUAGCCGUGUAAACUGGACUGAUACCCAUCAACAUUGUUCUGGCAUACAGCUUGACAGAGGGGGAAAUCAAAGGUGAGACAUGGAACCCUGCAUUGACGUUUUUCAACUUUUCAUGUAUCCUAGAAGUGAUUUACCAGAGAUUGGUGGAAAAUAACACCUUUUAGCUGUAUUCACAAUUGCUCUCAAAUUAUUUCUUAAGUGAAGUACGUAUGUCAUCUGGUUUUAGAGCCCUGGCUGAUGUAACUGAUAACUGAGAUGGAAUGUUCACACUGAUGUAUGAUCACAGAAGAAAUCCUCCAAAUGCACAUCAAGGUUCAUGGCACUGCUCUCCCUGAUGAACUGGACUUUUCCCUCGAGGGUCCGUUUAAAGCAGAGAUUCACCUCACGAACAACAGAGACGGUACAUGUACGGUCACCUACCUGCCAAUGGUUUCUGGUGACUACAGAAUCCUAGUACGACACCAGCAGGAGUAUCUACGAGGCUGGUGACAGUGUUGAUCCCCGGAGGUCCCGCAGGGUGAUGUUGGGCACAGCGACUGACUUCAGCCUGGACAUCACAGAAGAGGAUAUCUGCCUGCUCACAGCCAGCAUCGUGUUUCCAUCAGGCCUGGAUGUGUCCUGCCUGCUGAGGAGGCAGCCUGACAGACACACAGGUCAGGGUUGAGGGCACUGGGGGCUAAGAGUGAGGACCAAAGCCUCGUGGACUACAGGAGAAGGCAGGCCGAAACAGGCCCCCAUUGACGGGGCUGCAGUGGAGCGGGUCGAGAAUUCCUCAAGUUCCUUGAUGUCCACAUCACCAUCGAACUAUCAUGGUCCAAACACACCAAGACA